rnacentral:lncRNA from 1 species
CCAAUGCUUGGGUUAGCUGGAAUUCAGAGGUAUGCACCUGUUUUUAGAAAUAAACUCAAAAGUUGAUGCCAGCGUAGCUAAGGCGUCUGCCUUUAUAUCCUCUCGGGGAUCUGGGGGAUGUAAAAUUCCUUGAUCUUUGCGGGGACGAGCUUUACCUCGCCCAAAUAAGCCAUCAUUCUUGAGUCCUUGGCGAGGUAGUCUCCUGGGACUUGGUACCACAGUUGUGAAUCACUGAAGACUUCAAAGAUUGCCGCUCCCAACUCCGUGGCUAUCUUAGUCCGGCGGAGGAGGGCUUCGUACCGGCUUCAUUGUUAGUGGCUUUAAAUCCCCUUCUUAGGCGUAACUCCAUUGUUCGCCUGAUGGAGCUCGUAUGACGAGUCCUGCACCAACAACCGUGCGGGGGGGGGGGGGGGGGGGGGGGGGGGGGGGGGAUGGUUAGAAGAAGCCAUCGACGAAUAAUAUCCAGUGGGCGAGGUCUUUUUUUGAGGUUGGUUCUUUAGGAAUCCCGCUUCAAGAGGACCCGUUUCUGGUUAUGGAGUGUCUUUAGGUGGUUUUUGACAAUGAAAUCAGCCAGGCCUGGAAUUUUAUUACCGUCCUUGGCUUGUACUUCAAUGUGGAACUCACUUAGUCGAUGGGACCGUUAGGAGUCGACCUGAUGUGUCUGGUCGCUUGAAGAAUAUGCUUCAUGGUUGAUCAGUCAGUACUAUGAUGGGAUGGGCUGCUGAACGUAAUGACGAAAGUUUUCUCGCGGCGAUCAUUAGGCGUAGGCGGUUUUCGAUCUUCGGAUAUCUGGUCUUGCACCCCUUAAGACUUUGGUAAAGUAGUAAAUUGGCCUUUGGACUUGAUGUCUCUUCUCGGAUGAGCACGACACUCACCGCGGUGGCGGAUGGAUAAAAUACGUAAAGGUCGUCGCCGGUGGUUAGGGACGGUGAGUAAAGGCGGAGACCGAGAUACUCUUUAGAGUUGGAAUGCAUUUUCAGAUCCUCAUUCCAUUGAAAGGCCUGGUUUUUUUUAGGCUUCUGAAGAAGGGGGCAUUUGUCCGUAGACUUGGAGACAAAUGUUGAGAGGCGGCUACCGCCCAGUCAGCUACUGUACUUCUCGAUAUUUUUAGGCGAGGCUUUCAUCGGCGGUUAGGGCUUGGAAUUUGAUCUGGGUUUACCUCAAUUCCACGCUUGGUAUCAAAAAUCUUAAAAAUUUUUCCGGACGACACUCCCAAAAGAUACACUUGAGGAUCAACAUCAUCCGGAUGGCGACGCAGGAUGCUAAAUGCUCUUCAAGUUGGGGACCAAUUGGUCGGAUGAUCGGAGACUUUUGACUAGCAUAUUCAUUAUGUAUACUUCCAGGUCUCCCAAUUUGUUCCUUGAACAUCUUAUGACUAACCUCUGAUACGUCACCCCAACGUCUCAAUCCGAAUGCAUGACUUUAUAACAAUAUAGCCCUCGCUUUGUGAUAAGAAGGUUUUCUCGAUAUCAGGAGGGUACUUUGAUAUGGUGAUACCUGAGAAGGCGUCCAUAAAACUCAGGAGCCUCGGGCUUGGAGGUGGCGUCGACUAGUAGUCGAUUUGCGGCAAGAGAAAACGGUCUUUGGGCAAGCUUUGUUGAGGUCGGUUGAAUCGACGGCAUUACUUCCACUUCCUCUUUUUUAGGGGAGACCACGGACAUUGGCGAAGCCAAUCCGGUAGUGGGUUCUCGGGACGACGUUAGCUCUGAUGAGCUUAUUCAUUUCGUCUUCAAUAACUUUUAGGCCGUUCAGGGGUGAACUUCUUCACUUUUGGUGAACUGGAGAAUGUUUUGGGCGGUAAAACAGUUUGUGCAUGCGCGGAUUAGGAUCAAUGCUAGGAACGUUCCUGUGACUAGGCGAAUACGUCGGAUUGUCUUUUAAGAAGUUUAUUAAGGGGGCGAAACGAAGCUCAUGGUAAGUUCUGUGCCGAUCAUGAUAUGGCGAUAGGAUAUUCUAGAUGUAUGGAGAUGGGGACGAUCUUUCAAGAGGCUGGUGUUAUUGGUUUCUCUGGGGCUGCCAGGGUGAGUUGUUCCACUUCAUCUCUGAGUUCCACUUCAUCCUGGAGUUACCUCGUAUCGUCGCCCACGUUCGUAAUUACUAUUGGAAUGGGCGGAACUGAAGAGGUUUCGACCCUCAUGGUGCAAUGAAGCUUGCCUGGCCACUUUCUGAUCGCCCUCGAUCUCGCUAUCCCUGUGGGUGGGAAACAUUAGCUUCAGGUGAUCGACGAGGGAUCGGCCUUGAUUCCUCCUUAAAAGUGUCGCCCCAAGAUGCGUAUAGGGCAAGGGCAUCUACCACAAAUAAAAAUUCUGCCAUACGUGGUUUGGUGGGGUUCAGUUCCCGAGUUAUCGUCAAAUGAUCUAUCCCAAGGGGUGCGUCUUAUCCCUCCAAAUCGAUCAGGGGAGUAUGGAAAGGGUGCAACUUGUCCAGCCCAAUUUCAUUUUUUUUUGAACGCUGAGAUGAACAGAUAUCGGAGCUCCGUUGUCGAUUAAAAAUCCUCUGAACGUUAAAAUUGGCGAGAGGCUGAGACAAACCAGGGCAUCGUCGUGGGUAGGUGCCAAGCCUCUCAAAUCCAUCAUUGCUGAAGGUGAUGGGUGUUUGAGUCAGCAACAAAUGCGAGGAGGAGGUUAUAGACUUCCUUCCUCGGACGAUCUAUGGGACUCUAGAUCUGCCUUUUCCAUGGAUGAAGUCGAAUAACGUCCGAUCCGAAACCUCUUUAUGGAUUGUUUGUAUAUUGCCGCAGUUGGCUUUGUUGCUGUACCUUCUUUCUGGGGAGUUGGGUGGUGGGCGAGUAGCGACAUAUGUUCUCAGGUAACCCCUUUUAAUGAGGUCGGCGCAUCUGUUCUUCAGUUGAAAAUAGUCCUCAGUAUUGUGUCGUGGUCCCGGUGGAAUUCACAAUAUUUGUUCCUGUUCCUAUUCUGGGGGUCAGUCUUGAUCUUCCCGGGCAUUGAGAAUUCUUCGUGGCUUAAUUCCGAGAGUACUUGGGCGACAGGGGCGUUGAGUGGAGGUAGAAUAAACUCAAGUCGGCGAGGCGGGGUGCGAGGGACGCCUAAUCGCUAGACCGUUUGGGAUCCGGUCAGGUUUUUUUUUUGUACCUCAUUUCCUCCCUAUAACAGUCGCCUAGUAUCAGGCUCUUUCCUCUAGCUCAUUUUCCUCGUCGCCUUCGUUUAACCGGCUAACUCUUCUGCGGCGAUAUCACUUGUCGGCUUUGCUCUGGGCGUGGAUAAGUCUCAGGGACGCUUUUGGAACGGGAGUCGAACAGGGGACAGGUCAGAGUCCUUCCAUCAUUGCCAUGAUAACUUACUUUAUAGCUGGAUCUUCAACUUCUAAUAUGGCAUGAUUGAAUGUUUCACAAAAUCUUUACGCUCUCGGUCUCCCUUUUGGUGAUCGGUGAAACAAGUGGGAAGCAUUCUUCUGUCGAUUCUGCACUCAUGAAAUUGGCAACAAAGAGUCGAUUAGCUCGCCAAAAGAGUCUACGGUUCUUGGCGCUAGUUUUCGAAACUACGGACUUGGCCGGUCAUUUCAAAGUGGCGGAGAACGUGCACAAAACUCAUCGAGCAACCCAUGAAGAGAAAUAGGUUUGUACGAGUCCAGGUGAUCCAUCGGAUCUGUCUACCCUUCAUAAAUGCCGAGCUGAGUUGGGAGCUUGAACUUCGAAGAGAUCCGAGCUCUAUACCCUUCCGUGAAUGGCGGAUCUGUUUGUCUGACCAGAGUAUACACAGUUACUGGAGCAUUUGUCCCAGUGUUAAUGGCGUCUAGCCGGGGUCCAAAUCUCGAAUCUUCUGCGAGGUGGAGUGUUCGUGCCCGAUCUGAUCGCUUUGUGGGGACUCCUUCCCUCCACCUGGCCGAGUUUGACUAGAUUCUGAUGAGGAAACUCCUUUCAUGUAAGGACGGAUUGAUGCCGGAUGCCUACCCCUUGCUCGUUCGGACUGAUGUGUGAAAACGAUCCCAGAACGAUUAGAGUGUCGAGAUCGUUCAUAUCAGGGAGGAUGGUGCGCCGGAAGUGGGGGGUUGGCAGCAGUGGAGAAGUUGCAUUAGGUGACCAUAUUUUCGUUUCAUGAUUCCUCAUCUGCUAGCCCUAUCGUAUAUCUCACAGUGGAGGCCUUCUAGAUUUGGAACUUGGCCGGUGGCCAUAGGAUGGGAUCUGUUACCAGGGGCUACUGGCACUUGGUCUGGGAGCUUGCGGGCUGUGGCCAAGUGCAUAGAAAAUCGAGGAAUGUCGUUCCCACGACGACCGCAAACGUUGUGUAAAAAACUAGGGCUAGCAACAACAGGGUCAAUAUUGUGUUCUCGAAUUGGACCUCGGAACUUUUAAGGGGCGACCGCACAGAGGAACAGAAGUAAAUGGCCGGGCGAGCCACUCAAAACCCCUCCGGCGUGGAGAUCAGACCAAAGGCGAUGACAGCGGGUAAAAGAGCUCAGAAGAGAGGUAGAGUAUGUUGAGCGUACCAUUUGUAUAAUUGGGGAGCGGCUUUUUUAGACGGAGUAAUGGGGCCGUGCCCAUGGAUCACGCGAGAUCCUCGGAAAGAUGAGUAUGGAAAGAUAUCUCGGAGAGUAGGAGACAUAAUUGGAAAGAUUGCCAUCUGGAGAGGAUCCGUAAUGUCGGUCGUGGAGGAGCAAAUCUCGUGAUGGGCGUAUAGGAUAGGAAUCUGGUGGAGAUGAUCUUGGGGGGGGGGUUGGGGGAUGUGGGGUGUUGUUUUUUUUUUUGUUUUCUUUUUUUUUAAAGCCAAGUAUUCUACCUCGCCCAAGGGCGAGGGAGGCGACUCACUUUUUGGGCUUGGGGGUGAGGCUCAAUGAGAGCCUGGCGAGGGUUCCAUGAUGAACGUGGAUUGUUUUACCUUGGUCAAGAGGUGGAGAUAAGCAAUCUUUGGGGAGAAUCAUGGGCGACCAGUUCUGUGAUGGAAGACGUACGGCCUUGGUCGGUGGAGAAUUUCCCACAUCAAGAUUAGUGAAAAUUUUUUAUGACCAUUAUUACUAUUAAUCUGAUAAUUUAUUUUCUUCCCUUUCUACUGAUUUGAAUCCCCCUUUAGGUUUUUGAUCCCUGUAAUUUAUUUUAAAAAAAAAAUCGGCUUCCACUUUUAGUUUUCUUUUUUGUCGGUGGUUGAGGACAGUUUUAACCUUUGACUUUGCUAUGGCUGUGUAAUUUUUCCCCCUGUUUUUGGAAGAGCUCUGUGAAGGGGUUCUUUUCACAGCUGUGAUUUUCAUCUUCUUUUUUUUUUUUUUUUAUCAAGUAAAAAGUAUUAAGGUCAAAAAGUUGAAUCUCCGGAUUAUACCAAGAGGAAACAAAAGGGCAAAAGGCCUCAACCGAAACAUACCUACAAUUGUAAUACAACGCAGCUCUAUGCCUCAACAAGGCUGUAAAUAAAUCCCACAACCGGAAGCAACCAAACUAAAAAGUGAUUAUCUCAAUUUUAGAAAGCCUAAAGCCUGCCCCAUCAAAUAUCCAGAGACAGCCACAAUAUCACAAAAACAACACAUCACUCACAAUUGCAACACAAUAUUAUAACCAUCGCAACUCGCAGACCAAUACUGGAAACUAAUCUUUGUGGUCUCAAAACUAAUACGGAUUAAACCCACACAAAAGACAAUAAAAGAUUUAUGGUUCGGCCAACGAUGCCUACAUCCCGAGAGAAAUCACAAUCCACUAUCAAACAAAUGGAUUUACAACGGAGGAGAUCACCUCCAACUCACACCCUCUCUCAAAUCUCUCUCUGUCUUUUGCCUCUCAUCUCAUCUCACAGCAAUGGGGGGGGGGGGGGGGGGGGGGGAGCAGAGGAGAAGGGCUCUGUUCUCUCCUCCCCCCCCCCCCUCCCUUAGAAAAUCUAAGCACCCUACCAUCCCUUUUAUAGACCAAGGGAAAGAGGUGGUGACUCCUAUCAGAAUACCUAAUCUUAUCCUAAUCUAUCUAGGAAAACAAAAGGGUGAUAGAAAGACCUCUCCAAGAGUUCUAGAUAACUCGAGAGUUUCACUGUCACAUGGACACUCCUAUGGGGGGGGGGGGAACUUCAAUGGCUUGGGCUUCGCUACUGGACUCGGACUCAUCCAAGUGGCUUGGACUCAUCCAGAUGGGCUGGACUCAACAAUCUCCCCCUCCACCCACUAGAGGGUAAUUGACGUCUCAAGUUUGUCCUUCCUGACAGCUUUCUGAUCAGCUCCCCCAUAAGACUGCAAGACAUCAUCCGAGAAUCUUACCUCAUCACAGUACUCCACUUUCCCACCACAGUUGGCCUUCACCUCCACACUGAAGUGGCUGCACCUUCUCACUGAGGUCCCUGCACCCCCACUAUGGUGCCCCCCACCGGGGUGGAGCCACAAAGUAUGUCAACUUUGCAGUUUUCGUGGCUCCAUCUCUCCUCCCUUGUGCACACCACGAUAGAGAUCCACCGCCACUGAUCAAAUCGAGAGCAAAAGAGACUCGCUUCGGCAUCACCGCGCCCUUCGCUGUACAGCUUCUCAAAAUCGACUUGGUCUCCUUCCUCUGAGCUUCUCUAUGGACAUCCUUCCUAGUUGCACCACUCGUGCUGGCCAGACUUCCGUACAUAUCCCAAGUAUCUCCCUGCGCUCUGUACCACUCCGGAUUCUCUAGGGUACCCCUGCGCUUACUUUGUGUACCUCUGUGCAAACGGUGCUUCCCUUGUCCACUCUGUCUCGCUAUAUCCACUAGACCCAUGUCGGACAGUAGCUCCCCCUGUCUGACACUCCCUCCAAUCGGUAUAGUCCUCCUUCUUCUUUCCCCACAGCUCUCCUUGUUUUUCCUUGAAACUCGAGAGUUCCUCCACUAGCAUCAAGUUGCAUCCCUUUACUCUAGCAUCCCAAUAGAAAUCAAUUUUUCGUAGAUUAGAACAUGCCUUACCUCAGUCACGUCCCACAGACCUCUUGUCUGCCAUGCGAAACCGGACUGACCCUCUGCCAACAACUCUCUAGACGUGUUGUUCGCCCAUCCAUAUACGUCCUCGCAUGGUGCAUAUUUAAGAACACCUCUCUAUCUCUGCACAUGGUUAAGACUGCUGAUCCAAUAACCCAAUCUGACUUUCCAUCUUCCGAUGCUACUGGAGAACGUCAAACUCAUCCUCAUCCUCAGCCAUCACUAUUUGUUCCGCUGUUUGUAUUUGAAGACUGAUCAUGUGCUUUAUACUUUGACCAUCCCUCUUGAUUGUCCCUCCUGGUAGAAAUAAAGCCCUAAUAGUGCGACCUCUCCCUGUGACCACCGUCCUUUUUCAGUACCCUUAUGAUGACCUCUUCCUUGACCUCAGCCUUUUCCCUGCUUCUCUUGAAACUAGGGCUGGACUCACUCUGAUCUGUCGAACCCAUCUCUCUCCUCCUAGUCCUCUUCAUGACCGGGCAUCCAUGACCAUAAUCGUAGUUCCUUCUUAGUCGGCGUCUGAUUGCGAGAGAAACCACCAUGGCCUCUCAACUCUCUGGCAAGGAACUCAGAGCAAUAAGGCCGCACCUCGUCGCAACUGUAGGUCACACUAGUCAACCUAAUUGACCAAAUUUUUAGAAUUCCCUCGUAGUUUCCGCCACUGUAGUCUUUCUCCUGAGUUUUUAAAUCACAAGCCUCCUCAUCAAUAAAGGCUUUAUUUCGAGAAUGUCUUCGCCUGGCCAUUCUCCUCCAACUGAUCCACACACCUCACAAGCACUCGUCUCCGGUGCUUACAUAUGGAAACACCUCGUGUCAAUGCACUGUCUAAGCCCAAUCGCCUUCACUAUUCAUUUUCCUCCAUUCCUUCUCAUCCUUCUUCACUAAAGUUUUUCCUCCCUCUUUAAUUCUCCAAAUGGUUCGUGCAAAUCCUUGCCAAAUAGGAUGUCCGACAUCUAGGUUUCCAUAUGGCAUAAUUCGCGUCCUGAAAAGUACGAUCUCGAACCAAUUAUGGCACUUUGCCAUCUGAUUUCUCUCAAUAGAAGCAAAAUUUUUGAAAACCUACCCCGCAAUGAUCCAAGAAUGCUGAGAAAUCUCCAACGAAGGCUAAACUGUCAAUCAAAAAACUUCUAGGACCAAACUGUCAAAAUUAGAAAUUUUGGGCCAAAUCACAACAAAAUUCAAAAUUUGGGGUCCCAUUUUGACAAAUCAAAAACUUUUUCUUUGGGACCAAAUUGAAAUAUCCGAACUUCAGGACUAAACUGUAUUAUCAGUAACUCUAGGGACCAUCUUACUUCAAUAGAAACUCUAGGGAACCAAACUGUAAUUACUCAAAAAUCCAGGGCAAAAGUGUAAUUUACUCAAAACAGUCAACGGUCAACAGAUCAAGUCAACGGUCAAUGCUGACUGGGCGCUGACACGUGGCGCGUGGCGGUCGUGGCUGAGACGAUUUCAAAACGGCUCCGUGGGGGCGCGUUGGACACGUUUUCGCGAGUUUGGUGCUGGGCUCCGUAUCAACGAGAGGAAUCCCUGGUGCAAUCAAAAAAUUCAUUUUAGUGCACUUUCCAUACACCCAAAUUUCGACUUGGGCUCCGAAUUGCUCCACUAGGCUCUGAUACCAAUUGUUGUGCUCAAAACUAAUUACGGAUCACACACACACAAAGACAAUAAGAUUUAACGUGAUUCGCCAACUAUGCCUACAUCCACGGAGAGAAAUCACAAUCCACUAUCAAACGAUGGAAUUACAACGGAGGAUACUCACCUUUCAACUCACCCCCUCCCUCUCCCCAUCUCUCCUGUCUUGCCUCUCAAUCUCUACCUCACAGCACUAUCUGCUCUCAAGCCCACAACACAACGAACGUAGAAAUCUAGAGCCCCCUACCAUCCCUUUUAUAGACCAAGGGAAGAAGGUGAGUGGACUCUACCAGAACCUAUCAUUAUCCUAAUCUAUCUAGGAAACAAAGAUAAGACUAUCCAGAGUUCUAGAUAACUCGGAGUUUCAUCACCGUCACAUGGAAACUCCAUAUGAACUACAAUCGGGCUUGGGUUGGCUACUGGAUUUGGACUCAUCCAAGUGGGGCUGGACUCAUCCAGAAUGGGUUGGACACAAAUAUAAUUCCACUUUUUGUCACUAAGGCACACCUUUGAUCAUUAACUAAUUCGGCCCUCCCUGCUUGCUUCUUUUUCAAUUCUUUUUCCUUACAUAAAUUCCCUUUUUAGCUAAAGGGGAAAAGGGAGGAUUGAAGAGGAAGAUGCCUGAGUUCUUUCUGCCUUCGUGGAAUGCGCUUUGCAAUACAACCAGCCUUCCUAAUUCUUUGGGAGGUGUUCUAAUUCUGGGCGGCAUUGAGAUAGCCAAAAACUUUGAGAUUUGGUGUUUUAGUUUGUUUUUUUUGAACGGCAAAGAAGAAGAGAGAAAGGAGAACAAAAUUACAACACAGAGGAAAACACCAGCCAAAAAUGUUGAUAAGAAAUCAACCAACAAAUCAGAACCUCAACAACUACCUAAGUAUUCCUAUCAACUAAGAUAAAUGUAACAAAACAAACCUAGAUGCUAGCAGCUUUGGACAUCCUAUCCUCGCGACUUAUCUGCACCGUAGCAAAAUCCUCGAACCUUACGGCCCACACAAACCAACAACUUUACCUCACGGAACCCAAUGAGAACAUUCUGACUCAAACACUGAGAUUCAACAAGGGGUGAUCUUCGUUACCCUCAUGAAAUCCCAUAUCAGAGAACUGCUUAUGGACCAUAACCAAAAAUAAAACUAAACUGAACAUUCCUAGAUAACACCCAACUACCAACCAACAUAGCAUCAGAGGAAGUACUCUGCACUAGCCACUUCUGAAAUCAUCUAAAUAUAUGUCAUAACAUUGUUAAAUCUCUACCAUCCUUGCUUGAUGAUAACCCUGGGUAAUAAGAGCUCAGAUAUCCCAGCCAAUCCACUGGCUUAUUACCAAACACCUUUGGUUUUUGACAUUCCAGCAGCCCGCAACCACAACCAAAGGGAUUGGAGCCCAGAGCACUUUGACACCUUGGCUGCUAAGCCAGACACUCCACCAGUGAAACAGCUUAUAGAGAUGCAGGAUGCCCAGGAUAUGCCACAACCACCUUAACUUGCAAACCCACAAUCCCAAAUAGAGGAAGUA